rnacentral:rRNA from 1 species
AACGCGAAGAACCUUACCUGGGCUCGAAAUGUAGAGGACGGUAUCAGAGAUGAUACUUCUCGAAAGGGUCUUUACAUAGGUGCUGCAUGGCUGUCGUCAGCUCGUGCCGUGAGGUGUUUGGUUAAGUCCAGCAACGAGCGCAACCCUUAUCGUUAGUUGCCAACGCGUGAAGGCGGGAACUCUAACGAGACUGCCUGGGUUAACCAGGAGGAAGGUGAGGAUGACGUCAAGUCCUCAUGGCCUUUAUGUCCAGGGCUACACACGUGCUACAAUGGCCGGUACAAACCGUCGCAAACCCGUGAGGGGGAGCUAAUCGGAAAAAGCCGGCCUCAGUUCGGAUUAGAGUCUGCAACUCGACUCUAUGAAGCUGGAAUCGCUAGUAAUCGCGGAUCAGAAUGCCGCGGUGAAUACGUUCCCGGGCCUUGUACACACCGCGCAUA